GAACGGUAACGCGGAGAGCUUGCUCUCUGGCGACGAGUGGCGGACGGGUGAGUAAUACUUAGGAAUCUACCCAGUAGUGGGGGACAACAUUCGGAAACGGAUGCUAAUACCGCAUACGCACUACGGUGGAAAGUGGGGGACCUUCGGGCCUCACGCUAUUGGAUGAGCCUAAGUCGGAUUAGCUUGUUGGUGAGGUAAGGGCUCACCAAGGCGGCGAUCGAUAGCCGGUCUGAGAGGACGGACGGCCACACUGGGACUGAGACACGGCCCAGACUCCUACGGGAGGCAGCAGUGGGGAAUUUUGGGCAAUGGGCGAAAGCCUGACCCAGCAACGCCGCGUGGAGGACGAAGGUCUUCGGGUCGUAAACUCCUGUCCAGAAGGACGAAGCAAGUGACGGUACUUCUGGAGGAAGCCCCGGCUAACUCCGUGCCAGCAGCCGCGGUAAUACGGAGGGGGCUAGCGUUGUUCGGAAUUACUGGGCGUAAAGCGCGCGUAGGCGGACUAUUAAGUCAGGGGUGAAAUCCCGGGGCUCAACCCCGGAACUGCCUUUGAUACUGGUAGUCUUGAGUUCGAGAGAGGUGAGUGGAAUUCCGAGUGUAGAGGUGAAAUUCGUAGAUAUUCGGAGGAACACCAGUGGCGAAGGCGGCUCACUGGCUCGAUACUGACGCUGAGGUGCGAAAGUGUGGGGAGCAAACAGGAUUAGAUACCCUGGUAGUCCACACCGUAAACGAUGAAUGCCAGACGUCGGGCAGCAUGCUGUUCGGUGUCACACCUAACGGAUUAAGCAUUCCGCCUGGGGA
rnacentral:rRNA from 1 species